rnacentral:rRNA from 1 species
UACGGAGGGUGCAAGCGUUAUCCGGAUUUAUUGGGUUUAAAGGGUCCGUAGGCUGAUGUGUAAGUCAGUGGUGAAAUCUCACAGCUUAACUGUGAAACUGCCAUUGAUACUGCAUGUCUUGAGUGUUGUUGAAGUAGCUGGAAUAAGUAGUGUAGCGGUGAAAUGCAUAGAUAUUACUUAGAACACCAAUUGCGAAGGCAGGUUACUAAGCAACAACUGACGCUGAUGGACGAAAGCGUGGGGAGCGAACAGGAUUAGAUACCCUGGUAGUCCACGCCGUAAACGAUGCUAACUCGUUUUUGGGUUUUCGGAUUCAGAGACUAAGCGAAAGUGAUAAGUUAGCCACCUGGGGAGUACGGACGCAAGUCUGAA